GCGCUCGCUUCAGCAGCACAUGUCCUAAAAUUGGAACGAUACGGAGAAGAUUAGCAUGGCCCCUGCACAAGGAUGACACGCAAGUUCCACACUUUG
rnacentral:snRNA from 1 species